rnacentral:rRNA from 1 species
GACCGCGGAUCAGGUAGGAAUACCCGCUGAACUU